rnacentral:rRNA from 1 species
UACGUAGGGUGCGAGCGUUGUCCGGAAUUAUUGGGCGUAAAGAGCUCGUAGGCGGUGUGUCGCGUCGGCCGUGAAAACCUGGGGCUCAACUCUGGGCGUGCGGUCGAUACGGGCAUCACUGGAGUUCGGCAGGGGAGACUGGAAUUCCUGGUGUAGCGGUGAAAUGCGCAGAUAUCAGGAGGAACACCGAUGGCGAAGGCAGGUCUCUGGGCCAUAACUGACGCUGAGAAGCGAAAGCAUGGGGAGCGAACAGG